UUGACAUUUACUGAACUUUAAAAAUCUGGUUUAUAUCUUUUGACAAAUUUGAUAUAUUUUCAGCCAUUAAUUCUUCACAGUUUUAUCCCACAAAGACCUCUUUGUCCUCUUACAAUAAUGUGAAUGUUUCCAGAUUACAAUAAUGUGAAUGUUAGAUUUGUUAUUUUUUAUUUGUCCCUGAGCCUCUGUUCAGGGACAAUAAAAUCCUCCUUUCUUUCUAUAGGUCAGAUUAUGUAGGUAUUCUUGUUCUGUUUUCAAGUUCAUUGACUCUUUCCUUAGUCUUUUGCAUACUGCUAUUGAGAUCAUCCAAUUAAGCAUUUUAUUUCCCCUAAUAGUUUUGGUUAAUACUUUUUUUAAUUCUUAAGUUUAAAUUGGUGUUUACAUAUUCCAAAUAUUUGGUGAGACUUUCCAACUUUCCAUUCACUUCAUGAAUGCUAUCCCGUAAUUCUAGGAGCAUUGUUAUAAUAACUGCUUUAAUGUAUGUGUCAGAUGAUUUUGACAUAUGUGUCCUCUCAAUAUUGUUAUUCAAGGAUUCUCUUUGCCAUGUGAGUUAAGAUCUCCCUGGUUUUUCAUAAUGCUGAAUAUUUUGGGGCUUGUAACCUGGACUUCUUUGGAUUAUGUGAUGAGACACUGUGUCUUGUUGAAAUCUUAAGGAUAAUAUUGAUAUUUUUGUUUUUGCAGGCACACAGUUGCCUUGUAUUUAAGCUCCAAGUACCAACCAGACUUCCAUGUGUUGUCGUUUCACAGAUAACUCUAUUUGAAAGCCUUGACACUGCGGUUGAGAGAUCUCUGGAGUGUGUGCAACCAGUGGUCAGUGAGGACUGGAAAGUGGACCAUUGUUCAGUUCAGUCCUCAGGCUCUUUUUAGGUACACAAUUGCCUUGUAUUUAAGCUCCAAGUAUCAACCAGACUUCCAUGUGUUGUCGUUUCGAAGAUAACUCUAUUUGAAAGGCUUGACACUGCUGUUCAGAGAUCUCCAAAGUGUGUGCAACCCAGUGGUCAGUGAGGACUGGAAAGUGGGCCAUUGCACAGUUCAGCUCUCAGGCUCUUUUUAGGGCAAGGCACAGUGGCUACUCAUUCUCUGCAAAGAAGGAGGAAAAAAGGGAAGAAGGAGAAAGUCACAAAGGGAAAACUCACGCUGCCAAAAUGUCAAGUUUAGGGUAUUCCGGGACAGAAAAAGACACGUCCCAGCAAAGAAGACCUACCUAGACCUGCCCAGCUAAAGUGUCACUGAUUUUUAAAAAAUAAUUAAUUAAAAAUGAUUAAAUGAUUGUGUGUGUGUUGCAUGUGUGUGUGUGUGUGUUUAUAAAAGUGGGAUGGCAUUAUCACUUGUUCCUUGUAGCUGAGACUCUGGGGGUUGUGAGAUGGUCCAGAUUUCUG
rnacentral:lncRNA from 1 species